rnacentral:rRNA from 1 species
GACGAACGCUGGCGGCGUGCCUAAUACAUGCAAGUAGAACGCACAGUUUAUACCGUAGCUUGCUACACCAUAAACUGUGAGUUGCGAACGGGUGAGUAACGCGUAGGUAACCUGCCUGGUAGCGGGGGAUAACUAUUGGAAACGAUAGCUAAUACCGCAUAAUAUUGAUUAAUGCAUGAUAAUUGAUUGAAAGAUGCUAUUGCAUCACUACCAGAUGGACCUGCGUUGUAUUAGCUAGUAGGUGAGGUAACGGCUCACCUAGGCGACGAUACAUAGCCGACCUGAGAGGGUGAUCGGCCACACUGGGACUGAGACACGGCCCAGACUCCUACGGGAGGCAGCAGUAGGGAAUCUUCGGCAAUGGACGAAAGUCUGACCGAGCAACGCCGCGUGAGUGAAGAAGGUUUUCGGAUCGUAAAGCUCUGUUGUAAGAGAAGAACGGGUGUGAGAGUGGAAAGUUCACACUGUGACGGUAUCUUACCAGAAAGGGACGGCUAACUACGUG